rnacentral:sRNA from 1 species
AUUCUUCCGAUGCAGGGAAGGAUGAGAAGCUUCGACUAAGGUUCGAUUCGAGCGGAGCGAGAAAGCGUUGCCGCAGGCAACGACCCGAAGGGCGAGGCGCAACGCGCCGAAUAAUCCUUCCCCCACCACCA